UUAAGCACUUUCAGAAUCCUCUUGGCAGGACCAUCUUGUGCUCUGGUUCCUGUUUCCUGGAUCCUAUUCUGGGCCAGGCCGCUGGCGACCGUGUUGGAGUGGAUGAACCUCACGAGUUGGGAAACGUCUGACCCCGGGUGAGCUGGGCUGCACGUCACCCGUGGCCCUGGGGGCUCCCGGCACCCCCAUCUCGGUGAGGAAUGCGACGGAGGUCACACCGAAGAGAAUGCACACAUGAUACCUGCAAGGGUUCGCUUCCCAUUCGAGGUGCUGCUUCAUUGCCUAGAAUGUGGGAUAGUUUGAGAGGGCUGAGGAAAUUCUGAUCGCCUUCGGAGCAACUGAGAAUAUUGACAGGAAGCUUGUGUUUACAAUCCUGCUCUGUGGUUUCUCUUGGGUUCAGCCCACGUUCGGAACAUAGGUGGCAGUGUUUAGGGAGGAGAGUGAAUGGCUGGAUGGAGAGGAUGCAAGUAUGCUCAGACGGUGAAGUAAACAGCUUUUACUCUGUGCCUUUGCGACAGCUUGUUUUUUUAUUGAAGUGUAGUUGAUUUACAAGAUUGUGUUAGUUUCAAGUGUACAGCAGAGUGACUCAGUUAUGCAUAUAUAUCAAUAUAUAUUUCUUUUCCAGAUUAUUUUCCACUAUAUCAAUAGGUUAUUACAAGGUAUUGAAGAUAGUUCCCUGUGCUGUACAGUAGGUCCUUGUUGGUUACCUAUUUUAUAUAUACUAGUGUGUAUAUGUUAAUCCCAAACUCCUAAUUUAUCCCUCCCCGCCUUUCCCCUUUGGUAACCGUAAGUUUGUUUUCUAUGUCUUUGAGUCUGUUUCUGUUUUAUAUAUAGAUUCAUUGGUACUAUUUUUUUAGAUUCCACAUAUAAGCGAUAUCAUAUGAUAUUUGUCUUUCUCUGUCUGACUUACUUUACUUAGUAUGAUCAUCUCUAGGUGCAUCCACGUUGCUGCAAAUGGCGUGAUUUCAUUCUUUUUUAUGGCUGAGUAAUAUUCCAUCGUAUGUAUGUACCACGUCCUCUCUAUCCAUUCAUCUGUCGAUGGGCACUGGGGUUGCUUCCGUGUCUUGCGUGCCUUUGUGGUAUUUAUCUCACUCAUCCGUUGACCUGUGCUGCUGGUCUUUGGCUACAUUCCUGAUAAACCAGAUGUGGGAACAGGGAGUUUUUUGGACUCUCGGGCACUUCCUAUAUAUUAUUCUCACUAAUUUUUGCAACAGACUUAAAAGCCGGUUGUUCUCACACACGUUGUGCCAGCAGGGAAACAGCCCCACUGCGGCCGAGCCUGGGACAUGGCUGCAGUCAGCUCUGGCCUCUGAGGCGGGGCGUCCCGACUCAGCCCCCCUCUCGGCGAUAGGCUCCCUGUGACAGCCCAGAUCAAUCGUGCCAGUCAUGUGUUAUUUAUACUUGGACACAUGCUGCACCCUGCAGUCAUCUGGGUGGCUUAGAUGCCGCGCACGCCGGUGGUAGUAACUAUAAAUAAGACGUAACUUGCCGACUAGGCAUGGGUCCUCUUUUAGGUAGAAGUUCUGGCUAAAUUAACCCCAGGAAGAAACCAAGUCAGAGCUUGAGUCAUCUCUGAAAUAAAUUUUAAAAAACCCAACCAAACACCCCCCCGCCCCCACGAUAGAGGCCACCUUCCGUCCAUCCAUGGCUGAGCACUCUCGGGGUUUGGUGUCAAAAUGGUGAAAAUGCUUAUUGCAAUCAAGUCUGUGUUAGAGACUCAUCUGUGAGUGUCCGUUUAUGUACCAGGGAAACUUUAGCCCUAAAGCAUUAAAAAUAAGUCUGCAAAUUUAUGUUCAGAGUACAGCUGAGUCUGGGGAGGGCGGGCAGGGUGGGAUGUCAGGCCCCUGCCCUCUUUUUCUCUGUCAUUACCUGCUUCCUCAGUUUCCUGGGCAUGAGAAACGCACUUUGUGAGUUGGGAAGGAUGCUUUUCACUUUUCGAUUUUUCCUCCUCGAAUUAAACUUUUUCCCUCCUAAGAGCAGGCUGAUGAUUUAUGAUGCAGGUAUCAGCGAGGGGCCAG